UCAUCAUUAAAGUUUUAAUCAUCAUUAAGUUUUAAUAGCGUAAUUAACUUGACUAAUAAUGGUAUUAGUUUUUUAACUAUUUAUAGAUAAUUAACACAAUCCUGGGGCGUUCUAUAUAGUUAUGUAUGAUAAUAUUUAUAGUAUUUAUGCCUCUAACUGGAACGUACCUUGAGCCUAUAUGCUGUGACCCGAAAGAUGGUGAACUAUACUUGUUCAGGUUGAAGUCAGGGGAAACCCUGAUAGAAGACCUGAUGGGGCGAAAGACCAAUCGAACCAUCUAGUAGCUGGUUCCUUUCGAAGUUUCCCUCAGGAUAGCUGGUGCAUUUGAAUGUUAUAUAAAAUAAUCUUAUCUGGUAAAGCGAAUGAUUAGAGGCCUUAGGGUCGAAACGAUCUUAACCUAUUCUCAAACUUUAAAUGGGUAAGAACCUUAACUUUCUCGAUAUGAAGUUUAAGGUUAUGAUAUAAUGUGCCCAGUGGGCCACUUUUGGUAAGCAGAACUGGCGCUGUGGGAUGAAUCAAACGUAAUGUUACGGUGGCCCAAAUUAACAACUCAUGCAAAAACCAUGAAAGGCGUUGGUUGCUUAAAACAGCAGGACGGUGAUCAUGGAAGUCGAAAUCCGCUAAGGAGUGUGUAACAACUCACCUGCCGAAGCAACUAGCCCUUAAAAUGGAUGGCGCUUAAAUUGUAUACCUAUACAUUACCGCUAAAGUAGAUGAUUUAUAUUACUCGUGAUAUAAAUUUUGAAACUUUAGUGAGUAGGAAGGUACAAUGGUAUUUAUUUAUUUAUUAAAUUAAAAAAUUAUCUGUUAAUA
rfam:Drosophila persimilis strain MSH-3 cont1.019693, whole genome shotgun sequence.